UACAGUGUACUAUUGUGUAGGAUGCAUAGUAAGAUACAGGGUAUUGGAACAAAGGGGAGAAUGCAUCUUUCAUUGUUAGUGUUAAAUACUUGUGAGAGUAUCAAUUGUUGGUUCCAUUUGUCUCCUGACUUUCAGUUCCAUCGACUUCAAUCCAUUCAAUGUGCUUUGGUGCAAGUGACCUCGAGUUGAAUCCCCCCAUCUCAGUCUUCUCGGAAACCCCUCAAACUCAGUACUUAAGGCAGUAGAACACUUUUCAACGUUUCUCACAUUACGACACAGAACACCGGUCAAAAGAGUUUCACCAGCUGUAAUUUAAAAAAAAAAGAAAA